CGCGAGUGCAACCCCCGACACUAACGGCCUUUACGCGACAUCCGAGCAGCGUGUCUAUCCCAAAGGCCUAGGAGCAUUUGCCCGGCUCGGUCAAAUCUAGCGCAAGUUUGAAGCCUGCGGCCUCGCAAUUUUAGCAGCUUCGUUCCAGGCCAGGCUUCCUGACCACAGCCUCACCUUUGAGCAGCUCAGAGCCCUGCCUGCCAGGAUGCGAGCCACUGCCUGGAUCGUGGCUCUGCAGGGCCACCCAUGAUGGAACAGGUCGCCUGGUGAGGUGCUGACCAGCUAGAGGACCUCCUGACCCCUCCACUUGUCUGCUGGUGUGGAAAAGCCUGGACCCUCCCUCUUGGAGCCUCAGUUUCCCUAUCUGUAAACUUCGGUCUAUCCCAAGCUGAAGAACUGGCCAGUCCCUGCCAUAUGCCUCACUUUCCCCUGGGACACAUUUUAAUAUCCCUUUCCUGGCCAGGUGCAAUGGCUUCCCCAUGUAAUCC
rnacentral:lncRNA from 1 species